GAAAUACCAUGAAUUUCGAUCCCCCAUUCCAAACGUUAGUUGGCUUUGAUUACUACACAGUUCUUCAUGCUAACGGCGAGUUUUUGCAUAUUUAUUUUUGGUAGAACGGCAAAAAGCACGCUGUCUGAGCAUAAAAUGUUUUACGCACAAUUUUGGAUAAUCGGCAAAAGCAGAAAUUUUUCGGUGCGUCACACUUAAAAUUUGUCAAAUUGAUUCUACUCUCUCAAAUUCUACUAACUAAACAAACACGACUUUCUUUCCUUCAGAGCUUUGAAGACGAAUUUUUAAUUGUGAUUAACGUACUAAUUGCAAAUUACUUACAAACAUUUUCAACCGAAUAGUAGAUAAAACGUUUAUAAACUAUCACGUUUGAAUGGCUUUGAAUAAUUGCCUUCCGUUCUUCCCAAAGUACAUUUUGGAAAGACAACGUUGGUUUUUUCAAAGCUUUGAGGUCGCAGUUAUAAAUAUUUGCAUACCAUACAGAGAGUAAAAAAUAAUUUUGAAUAAAAAUUUGAAUAAAAAUUCUUAUUGCUAA